rnacentral:rRNA from 1 species
GACGAACGCUGGCGGCGUGCUUAACACAUGCAAGUCGAACGGAAAGGCCCUGCUUUUGUGGGGUGCUCGAGUGGCGAACGGGUGAGUAACACGUGAGUAACCUGCCCUUGACUUUGGGAUAACUUCAGGAAACUGGGGCUAAUACCGGAGAGGAGCUCCUGCUGCAUGGGGGGGGUUGGAAAGUUUCGGCGGUUGGGGAUGGACUCGCGGCUUAUCAGCUGGUUGGUGGGGUAGUGGCUUACCAAGGCUUUGACGGGUAGCCGGCCUGAGAGGGUGACCGGCCACAUUGGGCCUGCGAUACGGCCCAGAAUCCUACGGGAGGCAGCAGUGGGGAAUAUUGCACAAUGGGCGGAAGCCUGAUGCAGCAACGCCGCGUGCGGGAUGCCGGCCUUCGGGUUGUAAACCGCUUUCGCCUGUGACGAAGCGUGAGUGACGGUAAUGGGUAAAGAAGCACCGGCUAACUACGUG